CGCCAUGCCAUGCGACUGUCUCGGGUCUAAGAAUUUUGUUUCCGAAUAUGUCGUUGGAAAAGUGUGUUCAAAAUCGUUGUCCUUCUCACAGAGAAAAAUAUGUACGAAGUGAUAAUAUUGUGAUAGUGAGUGUAUAUUUAUUAUGAAACAACAAGUGAUGUUUUCUUGGAAAUUGAAACCUUGAACCUGCACCCUGUCGGUUAGAGGUUGGAUACGGCAGUUGCAGUUUGAAACUGACAAUGCAUUCUACACGUGAGCACACGCAAAAACAGCGUAAUUUUACAUCACGUUUGGCAUCCUGAUUUGAUCUUGGUCUGGCGACCGUGCGUACUGUCCGACACGUAUAUAGUCCGAGGUGGAAGCUCUGCAAUUUGGGAAAAAUCGGUAAGUGAAUCGUUUAAGUUCUCAG